AGGUCACUGCUAUCGGUGUUCGAUUAAGCCAUGCGAGUCGUGAGGGGUAAAGCCCUCGGCGGAGUGCUCAGUAACACAUGGACAACCUACCCAAGAGUCAGGGAUAACCCCGGGAAACUGGGGAUAAUACCUGAUAGGCCAUGACAUCUGGAAUCGAGUUGUGGUUUAAACGUAAGGCUCUUGGAUGGGUCUGCGGCGGAUUAGGUUGUUGCCGGUGUAACGUACCAGCAAGCCUGUAAUCCGUACGGGUUGUGGGAGCAAGAGCCCGGAGAUGGAUUCUGAGACACGAAUCCAGGCCCUACGGGGCGCAGCAGGCGCGAAAACUCUACAAUGCAGGCAACUGCGAUAGGGGAACAUCGAGUGGCAUCCACCAUGGAUGUCUGUCCAAUCGUCUAAAAAACGAUUGUCAGCAAGGGCCGGGCAAGACCGGUGCCAGCCGCCGCGGUAAUACCGGCGGCUCGAGUGGUGGCCGAUAUUAUUGAGUCUAAAGGGUCCGUAGCCGGCUUUGCAAGUCCUAUGGGAAAUCCAGCGGCUUAACCGUUGGGCUUUCAUGGGAUACUACAUUGCUUGGGACUGGGAGAGGUGGGAGGUACUCAGGGGGUAGGGGGUGAAAUCCUGUAAUCCUUUGGGGACCACCGGUGGCGAAGGCGUCCUACCAGAACAGGUCCGACGGUGAGGGACGAAAGCUAGGGGCACGAACCGGAUUAGAUACCCGGGUAGUCCUAGCCGUAAACGAUGCUCGCUAGGUGUCACGGCAGUCGUGAAUUGUCGUGGUGCCGUAGGGAAGCCGUGAAGCGAGCCACUUGGGAAGUACGACCGCAAGGUUGAAACUUAA
rnacentral:rRNA from 1 species